AACGAACGCUGGCGGCAGGCCUAACACAUGCAAGUCGAACGUGAUCUUCGGAUCUAGUGGCGGACGGGCGAGUAACGCGUGGGAACGUGCUAUUUGCUUCGGAAUAGCCCCGGGGCACUGGGAGUAAUACCGGUUACGCACGUUGGGGGGAAGAUUUAUCGGCAAAGGAUCGGCCCGCGUUGGAUUAGGUAGUUGGUGGGGUAAUGGCCUACCAAGCCGACGAUCCAUAGCUGGUUUUAGAGGAUGAUCAGCCACACUGGGACUGAGACACGGCCCAGACUCCUACGGGAGGCAGCAGUGGGGAAUCUUAGACAAUGGGGGAAACCCUGAUCUAGCCAUGCCGCGUGAGCGAUGAAGGCCUUAGGGUUGUAAAGCUCUUUCAGUGGGGAAGAUAAUGACGGUACCCACAGAAGAAGCCCCGGCUAACUCCGUGCCAGCCGCCGCGGUAACAC
rnacentral:rRNA from 1 species